rnacentral:rRNA from 1 species
UACGAAGGGGGCUAGCGUUGCUCGGAAUCACUGGGCGUAAAGCGCACGUAGGCGGAUCUUUAAGUCAGGGGUGAAAUCCCGGAGCUCAACUCCGGAACUGCCUCUGAUACAGCACGUCUUGAGUCCGGAAGAGGUGGGUGGAAUUCCUAGUGUAGAGGUGAAAUUCGUAGAUAUUAGGAAGAACACCGGUGGCGAAGGCGGCCCACUGGUCCGGUACUGACGCUGAGGUGCGAAAGCGUGGGGAGCAAACAGG